UAUAGCUCAAUGGUAGAGCAUUUGUCUAGCAUGCACAAGGCUCUGGGUUCAAUCCCCAAUA
rnacentral:tRNA from 1 species